UCUUCAUUAGGAGGUCAUAUGAAAUAUUCCUACUUUUGCUUCUUUUGUCCGCCAACUUUGAGAACCGAGUAAAACUCGUUCAGAUAUGAUUAUUGUAUCCAUUGCUCGAUACUGCUUUCAUCAUUCACAUUGCACAGAUCACAAGGCAACGAUAAGGACUGCAUUACAGACUAUAUGUGAGUUUCUAGAGAGGAACGGCAGUAAGCGUAGUCUCUUUUGCAACCGUU